CGGAGAAACAAAAGAAAGUGAAACUGUCGGUAUCCUCAAAGGAACCGGAGUUCCUGCCACGACCUAUUCUUGGCUAUGGAAGGACAUAAUAGACCCCCACGUGGCAUUCCACAAGGCUUGGGGUCAUGUAUUGAGAGUCCCGCUUCUGCUCUUCUCUGCACUCGGCCACCUUGGCUCGGAAGGAAGCUGCUGGGGACCGGCCUGCUGCAACCCACCUCAGAAUCUCUUUCGGACCUCAGCUGCCCCAACCCUAAAAUGGGUAGGGAGA
rnacentral:lncRNA from 10 species